rnacentral:rRNA from 1 species
UACGGGGGGUGCGAGCGUUGUCCGGAAUCACUGGGCGUAAAGAGCGCGCAGGCGGUCGAUCAAGUCGCGUGUGAAAGCCCCCGGCUCAACUGGGGAGGGUCACGCGAUACUGAUCGACUCGAAGGCAGGAGAGGGUAGUGGAAUUCCCGGUGUAGUGGUGAAAUGCGUAGAUAUCGGGAGGAACACCAGUGGCGAAGGCGACUACCUGGCCUGUUCUUGACGCUGAGGCGCGAAAGCUAGGGGAGCAAACGGG